AUGCAGAGUGAUGAUGGUGAUAAAGAUGGAGAAAGAGUGUUGAGAGAUGAGAACUUUUUCUUGGGUAGAAAAUUGAAUAAAGGCUUGAACAAGCUUGGCAGAGGCAUGACACUGAAGGAAGAAUCAUGGAGUUUUGGCAAUGAUUUUAAGGCUAUGAUGAAGCUUAUUAUUAGGAACAACAUGAUUAGGCAUUGUAUAGAUUGGUAG